rnacentral:tRNA from 1 species
GUGGUUGUAGCUCAGUUGGUUAGAGCGCUGGAUUGUGGUUCCAGAGGUCGCCGGUUCAAAUCCGGUCUUCCACCCCA